UGAGCUGAGAUUGCACCAUUGCAUUCCAGCCUGGGCAACAGGGCGAGACUUCGUCUUAAGAAAAAAAAAAAAAAUGUUAUCCUGGCAAUUGGUCAUUUUUUCUAACUGUCUUUGUUUUCAUAAGAAAAUUAAAUUCCAAACAGAAGGAACAUCAUCAUUUUGUCACACUCACUCUGUGCAGGCUUUGUGGGGGGAAAUACCCAGACUCUGAAUGCACCUUGGAUUCCAGUUGCUAGUCUUCAAAGCCCUUCAAAUGCAGAGAAACAGCAAAUACUCUGCUUGUCUUGAAUUCACCAUGGUAGACACGCUAGAGUCCCUCCCAGUUCUGGAAGGCAUGCCCUUUUGAUGGAGGGUUGAGUGGGUGGGCCGUACACGUCAGACUUCUUCCAGUUCCCCUUGGCUCCCCGCUGCCUCAUAUGUUUAUGUCCGCCUCUUAUUUCUGUUUUCUCAAAUACCAUGGUUUAGGGGUUUCCUAGGAAAUCUCUCGCAUUAGGCAUGACAUGUUCAUGAUGUUCAGCACAGACUCCUUCCUCAGCAAUUGAGGUCCUUUUUCCCCACAGAGACUGUGUGUUAAGAGAACUCCCACUUAUUCAUAGUAAUAACUCUAUUUUUCUAGUUUGAGCUAAUGAAGAUGUGACAGCAAAGUUUAUCCAAAGCCUACUAUGUUCCAUUACUGUCAUUACCACACAUACCCUUUCCGAAUGUGACAGUGACAGCUCCUGGCAUAGGAGCGGUUCAAACCAAGGCAGCCUGGGGCUAAGCUACUGCCUGAGUUACUUUUGUAGCAGGCUCACGGGCCUUGGGUAAACAGGUAAGUUAGGUCACCCACAAGAAAAACAAAAGCGCUAGUUCUCUGUAAAGGGGGAGGGGAAGGGAGUUCCGUUUUGCCAAUAAAGUGUUAAAAAUAGAAUCUGCUGUGUCUGCCGAGCAGCUCUCACGUGACUGCUCACCAGAUCCCAUGUUGCGUGUACAUUUCUGUUUUGUAAAGCCUAGCAUUUACGUCAGAGCCUGGGAAUGCAGCAGUCUUGUCUAUACAUGGAACACGUGCCUCACGGACAUCAUUUGUGCAACCCCCUUCUCCACAGAGGCACAGCAGCCGUACAGGCUCGGCAGGACAGUCUCAGUCUCCUUCUGGUCUUCCAGCCCACAGUGGCUGGGACAGCCUCCCCCACUUCGCCAAAUCCCAUUUCUUCGGCAGUUUCCAACAGUGAAAUCAUUUCAAGAACAGUGGCUGCUAACUCGUGUCAGCUGAAGCACUGCAGAUUGAGUCAUCCAAUUCAAGCUGCUGCUGCUUUCUGGAAGGGAUAGAUCAGCCAUCAUCUGUUUCCUCCUCAGCCUUUCCCUUGGAGUCCAGAGUUCUUUCCGGUCCAGUCGAGGCAGGCAGUGAUGUUUCAGAGAAGCUUGAGGCACUGGGCCCCCCAGUGAACAAAACCAGACAUCCUGACCCCCUACCCCUGCAGUCUGCAGAGGCUGCCUUGGCAUGCUUGGCUUGUGAGGAGGAGGCAUAGCGGCUGUCCCCACACAAGGUUACACAGGGAUGCCACGGUGCAUUCAAGAGCAGAAUCCGUAGCCUUCUGUGUGUAACUCUGGGCCUUGCUGUAAACAGCAAAGCCUUGGGCUGGGGAUCCUGUAUCACAGGACUGGAUGUACCAAUGAAGAGAAAGUUGAAAAGCCAGUUGGCACAGGAGAAGCCCACUGCUCCUGGUGGACACGGGCCUGCAUUUAACCAGAUGACUGACAACACGAAAGUCAACAGCCCCAAACACAAUGAUCUUUCAUCACUACAGUUCUCGGAAGUCUCACUGCACAGAGCCAGCGGUUAGCAGGUACUUGAUGUAAACGUCCUGCAGGGAAGCGAUGAAGAGUCUGCAGCGCUUACUUAGGAGCCCUAAGUAAGCAAGCCCUUGAGUGUGCAGUAAAGCUCCUAGACCCCCGAGUUCCUAGACUCCAUGCACAGACUCCACUUUGCUUAUGGUUCUUUUCAUUUGGAGUCUGCCUAGUCAGUUUUUCUCUUAAGUUCCAAGAAAUCUUUUCCCUGUUUAGAACCUGUCAAGCAUGCCACCUGUCUGCAGGCAAACAGAGGCCCCAAAGGUCCCAAAACAGCUGAGUCGACGAGCUGUCUCCAGCCCCCGUGGGGUCCUGAGAUUCUCACCAGAUCCAGAGACAACAGAGGAACGGGAACCAGGUAGGCAGAGGAAAGACUUGAGAGACUGGGAGUUAGGAAGUCUGUCAAGCAGUGAGCGGCAGGCCUGUGCUUGUAAGGAAUGGAGGACAGGAAGUGGGCUUCCAUGGGACAGAGAUGGAGGAAUGGAGGACAGGAAGUAGGCAUCCACGGGACAGAGAGGGAAGAAUGGAAGACAGAAGGUGGGCAUCCCCGGGACAGAGGGAGGAAUGGAGGACAGGAAGUGGGCGUCCACGAGACAGAGAGGGCGUGGGGCAACACCACAGUCACUGUCAACCAUCCAGCCCUGGGAUCCCGAAACCAGUUGCUCUGCCUCGCUCCACCUGUCAGCCUUCUCAUGCCACAUUUCAAUCUGCUCACCUAGAGCUGAGGGGGUAUAGCCAGCACAUGAGCUUCUAACUUUUGUAUUUGAGCCUCUGCCAUUGGAGAUUGAAUUCCUCACACUUUUGGUCGCUGUCAUGCCUUGAUGGGGUUUUUUUAUCCCCAGGUAGACAGUAACACAUUUCAGAAAAAGGCCGAGGGCUUGCUAGUGCAGGGGGGAACUAAGACGGCAAAGCAACGUACAUACAGACGAGCCUUGGUGUUCUGGCUUGCCGGGGGGUGGAAGGCAGUGCCGCCCUCCCCAAGACCACCAGCUGGCCAGGAGCCCCGGUCCCACCUUUCCUCCUUCCCUUGUGCCUGCUGGACAUUCCCGUGGCCCUCCCCUGUGAAUGCAGCUUCUGAAUGUCCAGGGCAGUCGCUGUGAGAUGUCAUGGCCUGGACUAGGGUGAUGCGAAGAACAGAACUUGCCACCGGAUUGGAUGCAGGGGCAGGGACUCUGCCAUGACUUCACACCUCUUCACCUGAACAAUUAAUUGCCAAAACAGAUAUAGAAGAAAUUGGGAAGAAGAGUUGAUCCAGAUAGUAGACCAGCUAAAGC